rnacentral:rRNA from 1 species
GAUGAACGCUGGCGGCGUGCUUAACACAUGCAAGUCGAACGGAAAGGCCCCUGCUUGCUGGGGUACUCGAGUGGCGAACGGGUGAGUAACACGUGGGUGAUCUGCCCUGCACUUCGGGAUAAGCCUGGGGAACCGGGUCUACUAUCGGAUAGGACGCUGGUUUGGAUGCCAUUGUGGAAAGGUUGUUCGGUGUGGGAUGAGCUCGCAGCCUAUCAGCUUGUUGGUGGGGUAAUGGCAUACCAAGGCGUCGAUGGGUAGCCGGCCUGAGAGGGUGUACGGCCACAUUGGGACUGAGAUACGGCCCAGACUCCUACGGGAGGCAGCAGUGGUGAAUAUUGCACAAUAGGCGCAAGCAUGAUGCAGCGACGCCGCGUGGGGGAGGACGGCCUUCGGGGUGUAGACUCCUUUCGCUAGGGACGAAGCACAAGUGACGGUACCUGGAGAAGAAGCACCGGCUAACUACGUG